GUGCCAGCCGCCGCGGUAAUACCGGCAGCCCGAGUGAUGGCCGAUCUUAUUGGGCCUAAAGCGUCCGUAGCUGGCUGCGCAAGUCCGUCGGGAAAUCCACUCGCUCAACGGGUGGCCGUCCGGUGGAACAUGUGUGGCUUGGGGCCGGAGGACCCGAGGGGUACGUCCGGGGUAGGAGUGAAAUCCUGUAAUCCUGGACGGACCGCCGGUGGCGAAAGCGCCUCGGGAAGACGGACCCGACAGUGAGGGACGAAAGCUGGGAUCUCGAACCGGAUUAGAUACCCGGGUAGUCC
rnacentral:rRNA from 1 species